AGUGAACGCUGGCGGUAGGCCUAACACAUGCAAGUCGAACGGCAGCACAGUAAGAGCUUGCUCUUACGGGUGGCGAGUGGCGGACGGGUGAGGAAUACAUCGGAAUCUACUUUUUCGUGGGGGAUAACGUAGGGAAACUUACGCUGAUACCGCAUACGACCUACGGGUGAAAGCAGGGGAUCUUCGGACCUUGCGCGAUUGAAUGAGCCGAUGUCGGAUUAGCUAGUUGGCGGGGUAAAGGCCCACCAAGGCGACGAUCCGUAGCUGGUCUGAGAGGAUGAUCAGCCACACUGGAACUGAGACACGGUCCAGACUCCUACGGGAGGCAGCAGUGGGGAAUAUUGGACAAUGGGCGCAAGCCUGAUCCAGCCAUACCGCGUGGGUGAAGAAGGCCUUCGGGUUGUAAAGCCCUUUUGUUGGGAAAGAAAAGCAGCAGGUUAAUACCCCGCUGCUCUGACGGUACCCAAAGAAUAAGCACCGGCUAACUUCGUG
rnacentral:rRNA from 1 species